AAUAAUUUUGAACUUAGAUUUAAGAUGAUUCACGCCGGAUUGAGAAAAAGAAUUUAUUUUUAAUUCCAACAAAAAUGAUUUACAAAAGCUUUUGUAAAUUUUAGUUAUUUGAAUUUAUAUGCAUUGCAUAUUUAUUUAAUUUAGCAUUCAAGCAUUUUCACGAGCUUUUAAUUAGCAAACCCUGAAGAAUUAUUACAGUUCGAUAACCCAACACAGAUGUUUUAAUUGUCACCUCACGUCACUUCGUUGCUUUUAGCAACUCUUACCAUCAAAGCCACUCCCUAUAAUCCUCAAGGGUCUAGUCCUACACUUUAUAGCCUUUUGAGUGAAGCUUGUCUGCAAAGCCAUAUCCUAUGCUCCAAUCAAUUUAUUUCUACCUUAUUUCACAAAAUCUUUCACAAUCUCUCCCUCGCAAGUAGCAGAAUUCAGGAGCAAAAGAUAAUUUCAUAGUUCCAUUUAAGGAGUAUCAGCAGCAGUGAUCCCAGCAGCUAUACCUUUCAAAUUGAGCAACCUCAAACCGAAAACCCCUAAAGGCUUUGAGCAUCAGGAGGAUUAGCACUGCUAUUCCGAUUCAGAGAUAAGGUUAAACGACAGGCAUUGCCUAUACAGGUUAAUGGCUGGUGAUGACGGGGCAGAGCUGAGGCUAGAGUUCAACUCCUUAUUUUGACUUCCGUUGAAGAACUAGCCAGUAUCUGUCUUUUGUUCCUUAACUUAAGACCUAUUAUGUUGUGACUCUAAACAAUAUCUUUUGUUGAGCCUAGACUAUUGACUCUCAAGCAUUUCGAUCAGUGAAUGUUGGUUAUCUGAAGCAUGACACUAAAC